AAAUUGAAGAGUUUGAUCAUGGCUCAGAUUGAACGCUGGCGGCAGGCCUAACACAUGCAAGUCGAACGGUAACACAGAGAGCUUGCUCUCGGGUGACGAGUGGCGGACGGGUGAGUAAUGUCUGGGAAACUGCC
rnacentral:rRNA from 1 species